rnacentral:rRNA from 1 species
CACCUCUAGCAUUGCCAGUAUUAGAGGCACCGCCUGCCCAGUGACUCAAGUUAAACGGCCGCGGUAUCCUGACCGUGCAAAGGUAGCAUAAUAAUUUGUUCCUUAAUUAGGGACUUGCAUGAAUGGCAUGACGAGGGUUUUACUGUCUCUUACAUUUAAUCAAUGAAAUUGACCUUUCCGUGAAGAGGCGGAAAUAGCAAAAUAAGACGAGAAGACCCUAUGGAGCUUAAAUUAAUAUUCCAACUUCAAGACUUCCAACUCUAAUUGACACAAAAUCUUCACCACUGGAAUUAAAAUUUUGGUUGGGGUGACCUCGGAGCACAAACAAACCUCCGAAGGACAAACAUUAAGACCUACUAGUCAAAAUUACUAAGUCCUAAUUUGACCCAGAGCACAUCUGAUCAAUGAACCAAGUUACCCUAGGGAUAACAGCGCAAUCCUAUUAGAGAGUUCAUAUCGACAAUAGGGUUUACGACCUCGAUGUUGGAUCAGGACAUCCCAAUGGUGCAGCAGCUAUUAAAGGUUCGUUUGUUCAACGAUUAAAGUCCU